rnacentral:rRNA from 1 species
GGAUGCGAUAAUACCAGCACUAAAGCAUCGGAUCCCAUCAGAACUCCGAAGUUAAGCGUGCUUGGCGAGAGUAGUACUAGGAUGGGUGACCUCCUGGGAAGUCCUCGUGUUGCAUUCC